ACAAAACAAGAGAAAUCUCACGGUCGAGAUAUACCAAAAAAUCCAAACUCCGGAGCCCGACCAGGUCGCGCGGAUGGGGUGCGGAAACACUUCUCUCUCUUACCUCGUUGGCAGAGGUGAAAGAGCUUUGGGCAGUCGCAGCCGAACAGGCUCCGUCGCCUUAAAUUCAGACGAGCUCGACCGCGACCCGGGCUUCAGGCAGGUCGCAAAAAACACCGCUCGGCAUCGUCGGUCAUUGUUCCGAUGUUGUAAGCGCCCGAGUAUGUACUUCUCACGUAUACGAUUUUUUUGGUUUUCACCGGAAAAGAGGGGAGGUCGAGAGCAGGCUAAGUCUCUCGGUCCUUUUCCUCGGUCGCGUCAGGCGUACCUCGUUGCGCGCCUCGACCGACCGAAUCACUUGGCAUCUUUUUUAUUGA
rnacentral:misc_RNA from 1 species